UGAGGGAUAUUGCACAAUGGGGGAAACCCUGAUGCAGCGACGCCGCGUGGGUGAUGAAGGCUUUCGGGUCGUAAAACCCUUUUCUAGGUGACGAGGAAGGACGGUAGCCUAGGAAUAAGUCUCGGCUAACUACGUGCCAGCAGCCGCGGUAAAACGUAGGAGGCAAGCGUUAUCCGGAGUUACUGGGCGUAAAGCGCGCGCAGGUGGUUGAGUAAGUGGGGCGUGAAAUAUCUCGGCUAAACCGGGAGGGGACGAACCAGACUAUUCGACUGGAGUACAGUAGAGGAACGCGGAAUUCGGGGUGUAGCGGUGAAAUGUGCAGAGAUCCCGAGGAACACCAGAGGUGAAGACGGCGUUCUGGGCUGUAACUGACACUGAGGCGCGAAAGCGUGGGGAGCGAACGGG
rnacentral:rRNA from 1 species